GUUCCUGUAGCACAAUGUAUAGUGCGUUGGAGUUCUAAUCCAAAGGUCCUGGUUUCAAAUCUCAGCUGGGAUG